AACAUUCAUUGCUGUCGGUGGGUUUAGUCUUGUAACAGCUCUCUGAACAAUGAAUGUAA
rnacentral:pre_miRNA from 1 species